rnacentral:rRNA from 1 species
ACAUGCAAGUCGAGCGGACAGAAGGGAGCUUGCUCCCGGAUGUUAGCGGCGGACGGGUGAGUAACACGUGGGUAACCUGCCUGUAAGACUGGGAUAACUCCGGGAAACCGGAGCUAAUACCGGAUAGUUCCUUGAACCGCAUGGUUCAAGGAUGAAAGACGGUUUCGGCUGUCACUUACAGAUGGACCCGCGGCGCAUUAGCUAGUUGGUGGGGUAAUGGCUCACCAAGGCGACGAUGCGUAGCCGACCUGAGAGGGUGAUCGGCCACACUGGGACUGAGACACGGCCCAGACUCCUACGGGAGGCAGCAGUAGGGAAUCUUCCGCAAUGGACGAAAGUCUGACGGAGCAACGCCGCGUGAGUGAUGAAGGUUUUCGGAUCGUAAAGCUCUGUUGUUAGGGAAGAACAAGUGCGAGAGUAACUGCUCGCACCUUGACGGUACCUAACCAGAAAGCCACGGCUAACUACGUGCCAGCAGCCGCGGUAAUACGUAGGUGGCAAGCGUUGUCCGGAAUUAUUGGGCGUAAAGGGCUCGCAGGCGGUUUCUUAAGUCUGAUGUGAAAGCCCCCGGCUCAACCGGGGAGGGUCAUUGGAAACUGGGAAACUUGAGUGCAGAAGAGGAGAGUGGAAUUCCACGUGUAGCGGUGAAAUGCGUAGAGAUGUGGAGGAACACCAGUGGCGAAGGCGACUCUCUGGUCUGUAACUGACGCUGAGGAGCGAAAGCGUGGGGAGCGAACAGGAUUAGAUACCCUGGUAGUCCACGCCGUAAACGAUGAGUGCUAAGUGUUAGGGGGUUUCCGCCCCUUAGUGCUGCAGCUAACGCAUUAAGCACUCCGCCUGGGGAGUACGGUCGCAAGACUGAAACUCAAAGGAAUUGACGGGGGCCCGCACAAG